rnacentral:rRNA from 1 species
ACGAACGCUGGCGGCGUGCUUAACACAUGCAAGUCGAACGAAGAGCGCCGGAAGCUUGCUUCUAUCAAUCUUAGUGGCGAACGGGUGAGUAACGCGGAAUCAACCUGCCCUUCAGAGGGGGACAACAGUUGGAAACGACUGCUAAUACCGCAUACGAUCUAACCUCGGCAUCGAGGAUAGAUGAAAGGUGGCCUCUACAUGUAAGCUAUCACUGAAGGAGGGGAUUGCGUCUGAUUAGCUAGUUGGGGGGGUAACGGCCCACCAAGGCGAUGAUCAGUAGCCGGUCUGAGAGGAUGAACGGCCACAUUGGGACUGAGACACGGCCCAGACUCCUACGGGAGGCAGCAGUGGGGAAUCUUCCGCAAUGGACGAAAGUCUGACGGAGCAACGCCGCGUGAGUGAUGACGGCCUUCGGGUUGUAAAGCUCUGUUAAUCGGGACGAAAGGCCUUCUUGCGAAUAGUGAGAAGGAUUGACGGUACCGGAAUAGAAAGCCACGGCUAACUACGUG